GACGAACGCUGGCGGCGUGCUUAACACAUGCAAGUCGAACGGUAAGGCCCUUCGGGGUACACGAGUGGCGAACGGGUGAGUAACACGUGGGUGAUCUGCCCUGCACUUCGGGAUAAGCCUGGGAAACUGGGUCUAAUACCGGAUAGGACUCCGGACUGCAUGGUCUGGGGUGGAAAGCUUUUGCGGUGUGGGAUGGGCCCGCGGCCUAUCAGCUUGUUGGUGGGGUGAUGGCCUACCAAGGCGACGACGGGUAGCCGGCCUGAGAGGGUGACCGGCCACACUGGGACGGAGGUACGGCCCAGACUCCUACGGGAGGCAGCAGUGGGGAAUAUUGCACAAUGGGCGCAAGCCUGAUGCAGCGACGCCGCGUGAGGGAUGACGGCCUUCGGGUUGUAAACCUCUUUCAGCAUCGACGAAGCGAAAGUGACGGUAGGUGCAGAAGAAGGACCGGCCAACUACGUGCCAGCAGCCGCCGCAG
rnacentral:rRNA from 1 species